CUGCUGCCUUCCGUAGGAGUUUGGACCGUGUCUCAGUUCCAAUGUGGGGGACCUUCCUCUCAGAACCCCUACGCAUCGUCGGCUUGGUGGGCCGUUGCCCCACCAACUACCUAAUGCGCCGCAUGCCCAUCCAUGACCGGGGUCGCCCCCUUUGACCGGCAGGGGAUGUCCCCUCCCGGCAUUAUGUUGUAUUAGGCGGGAUUUCUCCCGGUUAUCCAUCUGUCACGGCCAGGUUGCAUACGUGUUACUCACCCGUGCGG
rnacentral:rRNA from 1 species